rnacentral:rRNA from 1 species
AUUGAACGCUGGCGGCAUGCCUUACACAUGCAAGUCGAACGGCAGCACGGGUGCUUGCACCUGGUGGCGAGUGGCGAACGGGUGAGUAAUACAUCGGAACGUACCUUAUCGUGGGGGAUAACGCAGCGAAAGCUGUGCUAAUACCGCAUACGCCCUGAGGGGGAAAGUUUUAAUGCCAUAAGAUGAGCCCGCAUUUGAUUAGUUAGUUGGUGAGGUAAUGGCUCACCAAGACAAUGAUCAAUAGCUGAUCUGAGAGGAUGAUCAGCCACACUGGGACUGAGACACGGCCCAGACUCCUACGGGAGGCAGCAGUGGGGAAUCUUGCACAAUGGGAGGAAACUCUGAUGCAGCGAUGCCGCGUGAGUGAAGAAGGCCUUUGGGUUGUAAAGCUCUUUUGUAGGGGAAGAUAAUGACUGUACCCUAAGAAUAAGGUCCGGCUAACUUCGUG